rnacentral:rRNA from 1 species
CUUUUGAGUACCUUACGUUUCCUCGGUGGGUUCGCCCACCGAUUGGACAAAUUUAAACCCUUUGCAGUUGAAAUCAGCGUCUGAAAAAACUUAAUAGUUACAACUUUCAACAACGGAUCUCUUGGUUCUGGCAUCGAUGAAGAACGCAGCGAAAUGCGAUAAGUAGUGUGAAUUGCAGAAUUCAGUGAAUCAUCGAAUCCUUGAACGCACAUUGCGCCCCUUGGUAUUCCAUGGGGCAUGCCUGUUCGAGCGUCAUUUGUACCUUCAAGCUCUGCUUGGUGUUGGGUGUUUGUCUCCUGUAGACUCGCCUUAAAACAAUUGGCAGCCGGCGUAUUGAUUUCGGAGCGCAGUACAUCUCGCGCUUUGCACUCAUAACGACGACAUCCAAAAGUACAUUUUUACACUCUUGACCUCGGAUCAGGUAGGGAUACCCGCUGAACUUAAGCAUAUCAAUAAGCGGAGGA